rnacentral:rRNA from 1 species
CGUGGGCGAGAGUUCCCAUUGACCCCACGGCUUGGUACCUUGAUGUCGGCUUUUCCUAUCCUGGCCCUGCACUAGGGUCCAAGGGUGGGUCUGCUCGCCCGUUAAAAGGGAACGUGAGCUGGGUUUAGACCGUCGUGAGACAGGUCGGAUGCUAUCUUUCGGGGGUGCCCGCCGCCUGAGGGGAAGGUGGCCCUAGUACGAGAGGAACAGGCCGCCGGCGCCUCUGGUUUACCGGUCGUCCGACAGGGCGGUCGCCGGGUAGCCACGCGCCAGCCGAUAAGGCCUGAAGGCAUCUAAGGCCGAAGCGGCCCCCGAAAAUAGGCGGCGUACCUUCCGGCCCGAAAGGGUCGGAGGGGAAGGGCUGGGGCUAGAAGACCCCGUUGAUAGGCCGGGGGUGUAAGCGCCAAGUCCGAAAGGGCGAGGCGUUCAGCCCACCGGUACUAAUCGCCCGAAGACCCUCA